CCUACAAAGCAAACUUGUCAACAUUCACUACCAACUUCAAACCAAGAAAAUGGUAUAUCAAAGGAAGAGUUUGAUAAAAUGCGGAACGAAUUAAUUGACUUGCGGAACUUAGUAAACACAUUCGUGCAUGCACAGGCUUCAGGAAAAAAUCAAAAUGAGAAUGAAGAGGAAGAGAAAGAUGAAGAAGAGGAAAAUGCUGAAGAGGAGGAAGAUCAAGAGGAAGAUGAAGAGGCGGAAGAGAAUGAUGAGGACAAUGAUUGAGGGUCAGGAUUACAAGUUAGACUAUAAUUGAGACUAUAUUUAUGGUAUUUGUCAUAUAUCAACGUUUGCUCUGUUUAAUGGUAUUUGCAGCUUUCCUUAGUUAAGAUUAAAUUAAUGGUUAUGUCAUAUAUCGACAUUUGCUCUGUUUUGCUAAGUUGGAAUUAGGACGGAUUAUAAAAGGAUAAGUGCUGGAUUAUGCAUAUGUUUUACUACUCUUUUUGGAAGUUGUGAAUCUUAGUAUGAUGUUUAACA